rnacentral:rRNA from 1 species
GCUUGGCCUUAAAUCUAGAUGUUUCUCCUACCAAAACAUCCGCCUGGGAACUACGAGCACAAACGCUUAAAACUCUAAGGACUUGGCGGUGCCCCAAACCCACCUAGAGGAGCCUGUUCUAUAAUCGAUAACCCACGUUACACCCGGCCGCUCCUUGCCAAACACAGCCUAUAUACCGCCGUCGCCAGCUCACCUCUGCUGAGAGUAUUAGAGUGAGCUUAAUAGCCCUCACCCGCUAACAAGACAGGUCGAGGUAUAGCCUACGGAGAGGAAGAAAUGGGCUACAUUUUCUAAAAUAGAACACUCACGAAAGGGGGUGUGAAAUCACCCUAGAAGGCGGAUUUAGCAGUAAAGGAGGGGCAAGAAUGCCCGCUUUAAGUCGGCUCUGGGGCACGUACAUACCGCCCG